rnacentral:rRNA from 1 species
AUUGAACGCUGGCGGCAUGCCUUACACAUGCAAGUCGAACGGCAGCACGGGAGCAAUCCUGGUGGCGAGUGGCGAACGGGUGAGUAAUAUAUCGGAACGUGCCCAGUCGUGGGGGAUAACGCAGCGAAAGCUGUGCUAAUACCGCAUACGAUCUACGGAUGAAAGCGGGGGAUCGCAAGACCUCGCGCGAUUGGAGCGGCCGAUAUCAGAUUAGCUAGUUGGUGAGGUAAAGGCUCACCAAGGCGACGAUCUGUAGCUGGUCUGAGAGGGCGACCAGCCACACUGGAACUGAGACACGGUCCAGACUCCUACGGGAGGCAGCAGUGGGGAAUUUUGGACAAUGGGCGCAAGCCUGAUCCAGCAAUGCCGCGUGCAGGAUGAAGGCCUUCGGGUUGUAAACUGCUUUUGUACGGAACGAAACGGUGAGCUCUAAUACAGUUUGCUAAUGACGGUACCGUAAGAAUAAGCACCGGCUAACUACGUGCCAGCCGCCGCGGUAACAC